GCUAAUAAUGCAAGUCGAGCGGAAGAUGGGAGCUUGCUCCCUGAUGUUAGCGGCGGACGGGUGAGUAACACGUGGGUAACCUGCCUGUAAGACUGGGAUAACUCCGGGAAACCGGGGCUAAUACCGGAUGGUUGUUUGAACCGCAUGGUUCAAACAUAAAAGGUGGCUUCGGCUACCACUUACAGAUGGACCCGCGGCGCAUUAGCUAGUUGGUGAGGUAACGGCUCACCAAGGCAACGAUGCGUAGCCGACCUGAGAGGGUGAUCGGCCACACUGGGACUGAGACACGGCCCAGACUCCUACGGGAGGCAGCAGUAGGGAAUCUUCCGCAAUGGACGAAAGUCUGACGGAGCAACGCCGCGUGAGUGAUGAAGGUUUUCGGAUCGUAAAGCUCUGUUGUUAGGGAAGAACAAGUACCGUUCGAAUAGGGCGGUACCUUGACGGUACCUAACCAGAAAGCCACGGCUAACUACGUGCCAGCAGCCGCGGUAAUACGUAGGUGGCAAGCGUUGUCCGGAAUUAUUGGGCGUAAAGGGCUCGCAGGCGGUUUCUUAAGUCUGAUGUGAAAGCCCCCGGCUCAACCGGGGAGGGUCAUUGGAAACUGGGGAACUUGAGUGCAGAAGAGGAGAGUGGAAUUCCACGUGUAGCGGUGAAAUGCGUAGAGAUGUGGAGGAACACCAGUGGCGAAGGCGACUCUCUGGUCUGUAACUGACGCUGAGGAGCGAAAAGCGUGGGGAGCGAACAGGAUUAGAUACCCUGGUAGUCCACGCCGUAAACGAUGAGUGCUAAGUG
rnacentral:rRNA from 1 species